ACGCUCGACACCUACGGAGGCAGCAGUGGGGAAUAUUGCACAAUGGGGGAAACCCUGAUGCAGCGACGCCGCGUGAAGGAAGAAGUAUUUCGGUAUGUAAACUUCUAUCAGCAGGGAAGAAAAUGACGGUACCUGACUAAGAAGCCCCGGCUAACUACGUGCAGNNGCGNGUAUNGAGGCGGCGUGNGAG
rnacentral:rRNA from 1 species